UGUUUCGCUCCGGGGUGCUGCUGGAUGCGGCUGAGAUCACACCCGUAUAACUUGAUGCAGGUAAUACUGACGCAAGGAAGAAAGUUGAAACGCCUU
rnacentral:ncRNA from 2 species